GUCGCUUUGGCCGAGUGGUUAAGGCGUGUGCCUGCUAAGUACAUGGAAUUUUCCCGCGAGAGUUCGAAUCUCUCAGGCGACG
rfam:Gossypium hirsutum cultivar TM-1 chromosome 12, whole genome shotgun sequence